rnacentral:rRNA from 1 species
AUGUGCUUAAGAAGGCAAAGGAAUCGCUCGGCCCAUUAUACUAAAAAAAGUGAUUUCCGACCGGAGUUUCACAACGUUGUCAAUCACAUGUUAACGAUAGAUGAGUUUGAAGAAGGUUGGAAGUACCUCAUAGAGAAAUACAACUUGAAAAAUCACGAUUACAUGACCAACUUGUACGAGAUACGUCACAAAUGGGCAAAGCCAUUUUUCAAGGGUGUAUUCUGUGCAAAGAUAACUAGUACCCAACGGAGUGAAAGCGCAAACCACAUGUUGAAGAACUACGUGCCUCCUGGAUGCCCAAUGCAUAUGUUUGUUAGGAAGUAUAUGAGUUUAAUCUUUGACAGGGAGUCCGAGGAAAAUUACGAGGAGAAGCGGACAGCAAUCGGGAGGCCGCUUAUGCGAGCUAAUAUGGCAACCGAAAGGCAUGCUGGGCAGAUAUACACCAGAGCCAUGUUUGAACAAUUCGGUCAUAUACUGUACGAGUGUGGUGCAUAUCAAGUGGAAGAGAUCGAAAAGGGUAAAGAGUAUGUUGCAAUACAUACAGAUGCUGCGCGGAGGGAGAAAUGGUGCAGAACUUCAUACAAGGUGUCUGUGCUUGAUGGAGGAGAAGAAUUUGACUGCGAGUGUGGUCAGUUUGCACACAUGGGGCUGCUGUGCAGCCAUUUACUGCAGGUGCUUGACUUCAUUCGUGUGACAGAAAUACCAAAGAAGCAUAUUGUGAAAAGGUGGACAAGGGAUGCAAGAGACAUACUUCCAACACACCUGGUGCAGUACCAGAAGGACAAUGCUCAAGAGAACCCAUUUAGUUUCCGGCACUACAAUAUGUACAUGCAAGCUAUGGAGCUUGUCCGGAUGGGGGACUCAAGUGUGGCAGCUUACAAACGUUUGACAGAACUGUUCAAAAAUUGUGUAUCAGAGAUGAAGCCAUUCACAGAAAUACGGGAUGGGUUGGGGUUGGAAGACAGGUUAGCUGGCAGCAUGAGGGUUGUGAACAUGGUACAAUCAGAUGGCGAUUUGUGCGAGGGUGUGGAUGGUUCACAUAUGAACUACCAAGAUGCUGGCAGCAAUUCAGCUAAUGAGUCCGGUAAUCGGAUGCAGAACUUGUUAGCACCAGCCAGGCGGAAGCAGGUGGGCAGGCCGACAACAAGCAGGGAGAAGGCCCCAUAUGAAGGUUUAAGUAAGCGCACAAGGUUUUGCGGUAUUUGCAGGCAGCAAGGCCACAAAUGCACCACCUGCCCGGAACGCGGGGAUGUACCAAAACAGCCACGGAAGCCAGCGAGAUGCAAGAACUGUGGAGUCGAAGGUCAUCGCAGGAACAACUGUCAGAAGGUUGCAGAACUGAGGCUGAGAUAA